rnacentral:rRNA from 1 species
UACGUAGGGUGCAAGCGUUAUCCGGAAUUAUUGGGCGUAAAGAGCUCGUAGGCGGUUUGUCGCGUCUGCUGUGAAAACCUAAGGCUCAACCUUGGGCUUGCAGUGGGUACGGGCAGACUAGAGUGCGGUAGGGGUGACUGGAAUUCCUGGUGUAGCGGUGGAAUGCGCAGAUAUCAGGAGGAACACCGAUGGCGAAGGCAGGUCACUGGGCCGCAACUGACGCCUGGAGGAGCGAAAGCAUGGGGAGCGAACAGG